rnacentral:rRNA from 1 species
UACGGAAGGCAGCAGUGGGGAAUAUUGCACAAUGGGCGAAAGCCUGAUGCAGCUAUGCCGUGUGUAUGAAGAAGGCCUUAGGGUUGUAAAGUACUUUCAUCGGGGAGGAAAAACAAAACUAAUAAUUUUAUUUCUUGACGUUACCCGAAAAAGAAGCACCGGCUAACUCCGUGCCAGCAGCCGCGGUAAUACGGAGGGUGCUAGCGUUAAUCAGAAUUACUGGGCGUAAAGAGCACGUAGGUGGUUUUUUUAAGUCAGAUGUGAAAUCCCUGGGCUUAACCUAGGAACUGCAUUUUGAAACUGAAAUACUAGAGUAUCGUAGAGGGAGGUAGAAUUCUAGGUGUAGCGGUGAAAUGCGUAGAUAUCUGGAGGAAUACCUGUGGCGAAAGCGGCCUCCUAAACGAAUACUGACACUGAGGUGCGAAAGCGUGGGGAGCAAACAGGGAUUAGAUACC